rnacentral:lncRNA from 1 species
AUAUUCAUGAAAUAUGAUAGGAUUUAGUAAUGUAUGUUAGAGUCAAUAAAUUUUUUUCAUACUCUUCUUAUUUUUCAGUCUGCUAGUUUAAUAAUAUCUUAAUUUUUAUUUUGACCAAAUUUAUAAUAUAUUUACAUUUAAAAUUUAUUAAAUUCAUACAUAAUUUUAUAAUAUAUAUAUUAUAUAUAGAUAUAAAAAUCUUAAUUAAUAAUUAAAAUAUAAUUACGCUAUACUCAGAAGAGGUAAUCUCACCUUUCUAUCUAAAAAUUGACAAAAUCUACAAAUGCAAAUCUCAACUACAGACUACCAAAUAGAAGAAAUGUAACUGCAGCAGUUGCAACUGUAUAAAACCAAACAGAUUAGAUGUAGUUAUGACUGCAUCAUUUACAACUGCAUGUACUUCUAACUACACUGCUUUUGUAACUACAUCCAUCCAAACGGCCCCUAUAUGAAGAUGAAGAGGUAGACAUUUUGCUGUAGAAAUAGGCCACGAAAAAAAAAUAAAAUGAGAAUGCGACUUAAAUAAUAUAAUAAGAUAAACAAAUUUUUGUUCUCAUAUAGUGCAUUUAGAGAAAAUAAAUUGGUUGAUUUAAAGAGAAGAACUAUACGCAUGCGCGCGCACACACGUGUAAUUAAGGAAGAACAAUUAUACCUUUUUUGAUAUUUUUGGACAUUAUAGGGGAAGAUUCUAGCUCCAAUAACGGCAGCGAUGAUGCUACUGAGAGGAGGGGAGAAGAUGGGUUAGAUGGGUGUAAGGUACCGGAUUUUAAAUGUAAAAGUGAAAAUAAAUAAAAAUAGUGUGGGAUACUAUUUUUAUUGGACUUAUAGACAUAAAUUAUAAGUCUAGAGUGACCCGUGUUGAAAUGGAAGCGAAAACAGAAGAUUUAGAAUUUUCUGUGAGAGACAGGGCAGACGAUAAAUAUCUGUACCGUGCUGCUAAACUGAAUGUGAAUUGUGUUCUUGGAUAACUUGGAGGCCAAGUUU